rnacentral:rRNA from 1 species
GACAAUAAAUAACAAUAUAGGGCUCUUUUGGGUCUUAUAAUUGGAAUGAGUACAAUUUAAAUCCCUUAGCGAGGAUCAAUUGGAGGGCAAGUCUGGUGCCAGCAGCCGCGGNAAUUCCAGCUCCAAUAGCGNAUAUUAAAGUUGUUGCCGNUANAAAGCUCGNAGUCGAACUUCGGCCUCUGCCGCCCGGUCCGCCUAUUUGGGUGUGUACUGGAGCAGNGGAGGCUUACCUCGUGGUGAGCAAUCAUACCCUUUACUGGGCGUGGUUGGGAACCAUGAUUUUUACUUUGAAAAAAUUAGAGNGUUCAAAGCAGGCUUACGCCCGAAUACAUUAGCAUGGAAUAAUAAAAUAGGACGUGCGGUUCUAUUUUGNUGGUUUCUAGGAUCGCCGUAAUGAUUAAUAGGGAUAGUUGGGGGCAUUCGUAUUCAAUUGCUAGAGGUGAAAUUCUUGGAUUUAUUGAAGACGAACUACUGCNAAAGCAUUUGCCAAGGAUGUUUUCAUUGAUCAAGAACGAAGGUUAGGGGAUCGAAAACGAUCAGAUACCGUUGUAGUCUUAACAGUAAACGAUGCCGACUAGGGAUCGGACGAGGAUUUUUAAUGACUCGUNCGGCACCUGAAGAGAAAUCUUUAAGUCUAGGUUCGGGGGGGAGUAUGGUCCACAUUGCGGCCAUCAACAAGGUCUUAAGCCUUAGUUUCGAGUCUAUGCUCGAGGCAACACUUNCAAAUUGCGGCAACUUCUUUGAGCUCAAACUACCAAGCAUUAUUNGAAAGAAUGAUGUGGCCAGUGUAAUCUGCUGGGUACGGUAAGAAGGUUUGAGAUUUGGAUAAGCGCGCAGCCAAGUUCGUGAAUAAUAGUCAAUAUUUNUAUACUGCAAUGUAUACAUAUUUGAAUAUUCAUUACAUCGGAUGCAGUCCACAGNCUAAAUGCAAGUGGGUGAGAACUAUUUCAUACAUGUCAAAAAUCAUUACUACAGCAGAGGACUACUACUGUACCACGCUGCGUAGUGAUAUUAGUAAUGAAUGGUAUGACAUGGUGGAUAAGCUCAUCUGAGAUAUAGUCGGUCUAAUUUCGAAAGAUUUUAAGGGAAACGCGCAAGGCUGAAACUUAAAGGAAUUGACGGAAGGGCACCACCAGGUGUGGAGCCUGCGGCUUAAUUUGACUCAACACGGGGAAACUCACCAGGUCCAGACACGACAAGGAUUGACAGAUUGAUAGCUCUUUCUUGAUUUCGUGGUUGGUGGUGCAUGGCCGUUCUUAGUUGGUGGAGUGAUUUGUCUGGUUAAUUCCGAUAACGAACGAGACCUUAACCUGCUAAAUAGCCCGGCCGGCUUUGGCUGGUCGCUGGCUUCUUAGA